CGAGGUGCGGGACGUACCCGCCUUUCCCCGGGCGCGGGGGCAGGCAGGGGGUGGAUCCUCUCCCGGCGCACCCCGGUUUCGCAUCCGACUCAUCCCACCAGCCAAAAGUUUUGCAUCGGGUUAUAGAACAACUGAAGAAAAUGUCCGUGUGGUCACAGCCGCUGCCAAAGCGUGGAACAGAAUUCACGGGUGUCUGUCACCUGCCAAAUAAAGAAGAUGGAACAGCCUAUCCACAGCAAACCUGACAAGCACACUAGAUCUCUGCUACAUCACGAGCGUUUGGUUGAAGAUGUGCAUUCAGGUGUC